AGGACGAACGCUAGCGAUAGGCUUAACACAUGCAAGUCGAGGGGCAUCAAGUUAUCACUUUUAUUAGUGUUAAUGUUGGCGACCGGCGUAAGGGUGCGUAACGCGUAUGUAACUUGCCUUUAAGUGAGGGAUAACCCGGAGAAAUUCGGACUAAUACUUCAUGUGGUGUAAUGUAUUAAUGUAUAUUACAUUAAAGAUUUAUUUUGCUUAAAGAUAGGCAUGCGUUCCAUUAGGUAGUUGGUGCAGGUAACGGCUCACCAAGCCGACGAUGGAUAGGGGUGCUGAGAGGCAGACCCCCCACAUUGGGACUGAGACACGGCCCAAACUCCUACGGGAGGCAGCAGUGAGGAAUAUUGGUCAAUGGAGGGAACUCUGAACCAGCCAAGUCGCGUGAAGGAAGACGGUCUUAUGGAUUGUAAACUUCUUUAGUAGGUGAGCAACAUUAGUCGGGGGAAGAUUAACUGCACGUAACCUAGGAAUAAGUAUCGGCUAACUCCGUGCCAGCAGCCGCGGUAAUACGGAGGAUACGAGCGUUAUCCGGAAGGAUUGGGUUUAAAGGGUGCGUAGGUGGUGUAAUAAGUCAGUGGUGAAAAGCGUCGGCUCAACCGAGGUCUUGCCGUUGAUACUGUUAUGCUAGAGAUAGAUGCUAGCGA
rnacentral:rRNA from 1 species